rnacentral:rRNA from 1 species
AUGACAGAGCUCGCCAACGUCUUUCUCAAGCACGGCUACGACGUCACCAUGGUGCUCGUCGAGGAGCCCCUUAAGUUGUCAGACUCCGGCACCACCGUCAUAGAGCGCACCGCUGCCUCCAACCCGUCCAUCUCCUUCCAUGUCCUCCCGUCCAUCCAUGCUCCAGACUUUGCCGCCUCCGGCAAGCACCCUUUCUUACUCAUGCUCGAGCUCUUGCACUAUUACAACGAGCAGUUCGAAGCAUUCCUCUGCGCCGUCGACCGGAAAAGCUUGCACUCUGUUGUCCUCGACAUGUUCUGCAUUGAUGCCACCGACGUUUGCAUGAAUCUCGGUGUCCCGCCGAUGCCAGCGUCUCAUCUCAUCAAGGAACUACUGGAGCACCCCGAAGAUGAGAUGUUCAAGGCCAUGAUGAACAUCUGGAAGCGCAAUACGGAGACCAUGGGCGUUCUCCUGAACACGUUCGAGUCGUUGGAGAGUCGGGCGGUGCAGUCUCUCAGGGGCCCGCUCUGCGUUCCCGAAAGGAUCCUGCCUCCGAUCUACUGCGUCGGUCCGUUGGUCGGCAAGGGCGCCAAGGAUGAGGAAAAACUGAAGGAGAUAGCCAUUGGCUUUGAGAGGUCAGGGCAGCGGUUCUUGUGGUCCGUGCGCAUGCCUGCAGGAAGCGACAACCCAGAGAAAUACUUGGAAGGGUUCCCUGAGCCGGAACUUGACGCGCUCCUGCCUCAAGGGUUCUUAGAGCGGACCAAUGGCAGGGGUCUGGUCAUCAAGUCGUGGGCACCGCAGAUGGACGUGCUCGGCCACAGGGCAACCGGCGCGUUCGUGACACACUGCGGAUGGAACUCGGUACUGGAGGCCAUUGUGGCUGGGGUGCCGAUGUUGUGUCUGCUGCUGGAAGGAGAGCAAAGGAUGAACAAGGUGUCCAUGACAGAGGGCAUGGGCGUCGCUGUGGAGCUGGAGGGAUACAUGACAGGUUUUGUGAAAGCAGGCGAGGUGGAGGCCAAGGUGCGGCUCGUGAUUGAGGGUGAGGAAGGGAGGCAUCUCAGGGCCCGGGUAGCUGCUCUCAGGGAAGAGGCCAAGGCGGCCCUGGAGGAAGGUGGCCCGUCGCGGGUGGCGUUUGCCCAAUUUCUCUUGGAUGUUGAUAAUCUUGGAAAGCAACUCGGCAAUUGA